UUUAGUGCUGGUAUGAUCGC
rnacentral:rRNA from 1 species